rnacentral:rRNA from 1 species
AAAUUGAAGAGUUUGAUCAUGGCUCAGAUUGAACGCUGGCGGCAGGCCUAACACAUGCAAGUCGAGCGGAAACGAGUUACCUGAACCUUCGGGGAACGAUAAUGGCGUCGAGCGGCGGACGGGUGAGUAAUGCCUAGGAAAUUGCCCUGAUGUGGGGGAUAACCAUUGGAAACGAUGGCUAAUACCGCAUGAUGCCUACGGGCCAAAGAGGGGGACCUUCGGGCCUCUCGCGUCAGGAUAUGCCUAGGUGGGAUUAGCUAGUUGGUGAGGUAAGGGCUCACCAAGGCGACGAUCCCUAGCUGGUCUGAGAGGAUGAUCAGCCACACUGGAACUGAGACACGGUCCAGACUCCUACGGGAGGCAGCAGUGGGGAAUAUUGCACAAUGGGCGCAAGCCUGAUGCAGCCAUGCCGCGUGUGUGAAGAAGGCCUUCGGGUUGUAAAGCACUUUCAGUCGUGAGGAAGG